rnacentral:rRNA from 1 species
CCUACGGGAGGCAGCAGUGAGGAAUAUUGGUCAAUGGACGCAAGUCUGAACCAGCCAUGCCGCGUGCAGGAAGACGGCUCUAUGAGUUGUAAACUGCUUUUGUACGAGGGUAAACGCAGAUACGCGUAUCUGUCUGAAAGUAUCCUACGAAUAAGGAUCGGCUAACUCCGUGCCAGCAGCCGCGGUAAUACGGAGGAUUCAAGCGUUAUCCGGAUUUAUUGGGUUUAAAGGGUGCGUAGGCGGUCGGAUAAGUUAGAGGUGAAAUCCCGAGGCUCAACUUCGGAAUUGCCUUUGAAACUGUUCGACUAGAGAGUAGUAGAGGUAGGCGGAAUGUAUGGUGUAGCGGUGAAAUGCUUAGAGAUCAUACAGAACACCGAUUGCGAAGGCAGCUUACCAGGCUACUUCUGACGUUGAGGCACGAAAGCGUGGGGAGCAAACAGGAUUAGAUACCCCAGUAGUC